rnacentral:ncRNA from 2 species
UUCUUAUCUAGAGAGGUGGAGGGACUGGCCCUACGAUACCUCGGCAGCGGGUUUUAUCAUGUGAUAAAACACUGUGCCAAUUCCAGCAAAUGCGUGCAUUUGAAAGAUAAGGA